UCUUAGGGUACUUCGCACCGUGCCAUACUCACGGGGAGCAUAGGCACUGCCCAGUACCAGGCCUCCGUUGAACAGAAGUUCAAUUCAUAAAUUAAUCAGGGCCGCAAUGGGUUCUGGCCUCAGAAGACCAUGGCUCACGGACUGCCAGUUGUAAGCAUAGCACCAUCCCACAUUUGUAACUGAGCUUUGCAGCCCGGAGUUUCUCUUUGGUCUACUCUGAAGAAUCCACAUACGUAAGAUUAUAUGUGAAUAUAUACUGUAUUCUAGAUACCUUGUGGUCUACCUGAAGGGAAUUCACCAGUUCCAUAUGGAUUAGAAGCCAGUUUCUCCGGCCUUCUAGGAAUGUGUCUAAUAAGGCAUCUCACUAAUGUCUAGAAAGCAAAUAUGUCAUUUAUUGUAAGUUAAUAGUGGAGCAAUGUAUUGGAUUGAAGUCACAUCACCACAAUUUGGUCAUUGUGAGCAUGCCAGCCGGGUCCAUUCUUCACCUCACCUUGUUGGCAUUUAAAUAUAAUUCUAGAGAUUCAUAUGCUCAAGAGGGGAGAGAUAUGCCUGGGUGUCUGGCGAGAGAAACUCGUAUUAUUGUCUAGGAGCUGAAAACUUCAGCAUGAAGAAAAAGGUUUAAAAAAUCUUGGCCUACGUGUGGCUUUGCCUAGUUUGAAUCUUGUUUCUUUGGUUUACUUCAUUGAAGUGUUUUCUCUCUCAUGGUACUGAUGUUGUAUAUCGGGGCAUGCCAUGCAUAAGGUUCAGAACCAAGAAUCCUAUAAUCAGUAAAAAAGUAUAUAUAUAUACUUAAAAAUUUUUAUACAUAUACUAUUAUAUUAUACAUAGUAUGUAAUAUAUAUUAUAUAUACACACACAGUAAAAUCUUGGAGUGUGAGUAACUUGUUCUGCGAGUGUUCCACAAGACGGGUAGACAUUUCUAAUAAAUAUGAACUUGAUAAAUGAGUGAUGUCUUGCAAUACAAGGAGUACGUGAUGUCAAAGGUCACAUGACAAUUGAGCCAAUGGUUCUCUCUCUGUCUCUGUCUCUGUCUCUGUCUCUCUCUCGGUCUCUCUCUAUUUCUCUGUGGGAUUGUGGGUGAUGGUCUCCCAUGCUCAGAUGCUCUGUCUCGGGUCACAGUGUUUGGCAGAAAUGAGUGAUUUUUCAGAGCAGUGGGAGGUGCCCACAACUGACACUAACUAGUGUAUUUUUGUCACUUCGAAGCACCAGUGGACAGUCCUUGGCUUUUCCAUACAAGAAUAAGCUUGGGAAUGCAUUGCUUCAUUCUAGGUCAGGCUGCCUGCAGAUAUAGCCCCUUUCCUCUGCUGCCUUAUUGCCGGUUCCAUUAAAUAAGUAUAUGACAAGAGCUUACUAAUACUGUAUGUAGUGUAGUCAGCCUCCAUUAGUGAUAAUGAAAGUCAUCCUACACAACAGCCCUCCUCUCUCUUGUCUCCCUCACACCAGCCACAAAAGUUUUCAAAGGACAAAGGGGCAAAUUCAGCAUGUGAUGAGUGUUGGGGCUUCAGGACAAUAUAAGGAAGUUUGGCAAUCUGAGGUAAUUCAUACAGAGUUAAUAUGGAGGGAAGACUGAGUGACCCAUGAAACUCCUGUGAAGAAUUCGUUUGGAUGUUAAUUUUCAUGAUUAAAUGUGUGAUUGAAACUGAUGCAAAAAAACUUCAAGAAAAGGAGGCAUGUAAAGAUGACGAAGACAAAGAUGAUAGACUGUUUCUUAAUGACCGAACAAUUGUUAACACUAACAUAUCAGAACCAGCAAAUUGUGGAUAACAACUGAAAGCCAGAUCCUCAGGUAAUUUAAUCCUUGAGAAAACACCACGGAAACAGAAGAAUAAGAGAACUCAGAGCCAUCAACAGAUAAAUUCCAGUGGACUUGAUCACUGGAAGAUCACUCAAAGAUUCCCGUCUUUGUAACUUUUAAGGACUCCUUGUACAUCGUUAUGUGGGACAAUUGACAGACACUAAUGCUGGAAGCCGAGCCAUCCCAGCCUGAGUGGCAAAGCCUGGGCUGUGGACGGAUUGGUGACUGCAAGGCGGCCAACCGACACUGAAGCUUCUUGUACUCCUGCUUUUAGAGGAAGGGUUUGGAGCUGCACGGACAAAUAGAGGAAAGACGGUCAUGGGACAAGAGAGGCAGACACUGAGGCAAUAUGGUUCUGCUGCUGAGAACACCAAGGAUUCCCAACAACCACCAGAAAGAAGCCAGAAGAGGCAAAGAAAGAUUCUCUCCUAGAUCCUACCUGCUGGCACCUUGAUUUGGGACUUCUAGCCUUCAGAACUGCGAAAGAAUAAAUUUCUGUUAUUUAAGCCACCCAGUCUGUGGUAUUUUGUUAUGGCAGCCCUGGGAGAUUAAUAUAGUAUUUAAAUAUAAAUUUUUUUUUCCUUUUUUUCUGUAUCCUCUCUCAACUUGUGGCUUUUUUUUAAUUUGCUAUGUAAUGUUUUUCUGAAUAAAGGUUUAAAUUAUUGUGA